rnacentral:rRNA from 1 species
CAGCCCUAAACGAUGCGCGUUAGGUGUAUCGGUGACCACGAGUCACCGAGGUGCCGAAGGGAAACCGUGAAACGUGCCGCCUGGGAAGUACGGUCGCAAGGCUGAAACUUAAAGGAAUUGGCGGGGGAGCACAACAACGGGUGGAGCCUGCGGUUUAAUUGGACUCAACGCCGGGAAGCUCACCGGAUAAGACAGCGGAAUGAUUGCCGGGCUGAAGACCCUGCAUGACCAGCUGAGAGGAGGUGCAUGGCGUAGUCGUGU